rnacentral:rRNA from 1 species
GACGAACGCGGCGGCGUGCCUAAUACAUGCAAGUUGAGCGAUGAAGAUUGGUGCUUGCACCAAUUUGAAGAGCAGCGAACGGGUGAGUAACGCGUGGGGAAUCUGCCUUUGAGCGGGGGACAACAUUUGGAAACGAAUGCUAAUACCGCAUAAUAACUUUAAACACAAGUUUUAAGUUUGAAAGAUGCAAUUGCAUCACUCAAAGAUGAUCCCGCGUUGUAUUAGCUAGUUGGUGAGGUAAAGGCUCACCAAGGCGAUGAUACAUAGCCGACCUGAGAGGGUGAUCGGCCACAUUGGGACUGAGACACGGCCCAAACUCCUACGGGAGGCAGCAGUAGGGAAUCUUCGGCAAUGGACGAAAGUCUGACCGAGCAACGCCGCGUGAGUGAAGAAGGUUUUCGGAUCGUAAAACUCUGUUGGUAGAGAAGAACGUUGGUGAGAGUGGAAAGCUCAUCAAGUGACGGUAACUACCCAGAAAGGGACGGCUAACUACGUGCCAGCAGCCGCGGUAAUACGUAGGUCCCGAGCGUUGUCCGGAUUUAUUGGGCGUAAAGCGAGCGCAGGUGGUUUAUUAAGUCUGGUGUAAAAGGCAGUGGCUCAACCAUUGUAUGCAUUGGAAACUGGUAGACUUGAGUGCAGGAGAGGAGAGUGGAAUUC